AAAAUUGUUGAUCUAAUAAAUUAUAAGAGAUCCUUUACUAAACAAAAAUUGGGCUCAAAUAUAUAUUUAAAUUCGAAGGCCCAAAUACUAAAUGCAUAUACAUAACAUCAAAUUGCAGCCCAAAUGUUCAUUAAUAAAAUAAAAUUUGAGCUCACACAUUUAAAUAAAUUAGGCCCAAGAAUUAGCAGCCCAACACCCAUUUCAUACCUCAUUUAAUCUCACUCUCUCUCUCCCUAAUUCAAUACACACACGCACACAGAAAACACACUCAUACACGCACAAACCAGCGCACCCUCUCUCCCUCUCUCAGCCUUCCCGCUGCCGCCGCCGCCUGAAGACGGCGUCGCCCAGCGCCUUCCUUCUCUCUCCCAGCCUCCAUCUCUCUCCCUGACCCCUCUCACCCUCUCGACCAGUCGGCCACCGGUGAAGAGCGCCGGCGCCGCCCCUGUUCCAGCGAGCAGCCAGCCGCCGCCGUUACACCGAACGCCGUCUCCUCCAGCCCGGCGCUGUCCCCCUUCUCUUCUUUCUUCGGCCGGCAGCAACGACUGCUGUCGCCGUCACCUCGGCGGACAACAGAGCUGCUCCGCCGCCUCCUCCCCUUUACCCCAGAUCUGGCGCCGCCACCGCGCCUGUUUCUCCGGCGAGGGCGCUGCCUACCUCCACUCCACACCGGCGCCGUUCAGACGCCCACUCCCCUGUCUACUCUAAGCCUCAACCCACUUCCUCUUCU
rnacentral:lncRNA from 1 species